rnacentral:sRNA from 1 species
GGCCCAGGGUUUGAAGCAGGUGAAAGUCUGAGCUGCUUCUGCAAGUGCAGCCUUUGUUCCAAGGAAGCAGGGCUGCCCUGCACCCCGGUGUGCAGGGGGGCAGCUGGCUUUUCCCGUCUGCAGAGCUCCGUCUCCCCAGGAGGGGCGUCCUGUCUCGGGCCAGCAUGACCGCCGUCUCCCUGCUGCUGAAGGGGAGGGCCCCCUUUCUCUGGGCCUUGGCCUCUGUCUGUCAAAUGACGACGAGUUCUGUGGAUAGAACAAGGUUAGAAACGCCACCUGACAGAGCGGCCUGCGAUGCCCCUCACUGUCCUGGAGCCAGACAGGUGGAGGAGAGACCUCGGGGCUGGGCCGCGUCAGCUGACUCCAGAGUGGACACCAGGCAAUGCCCAGGGAGGGGACUCCUGGAAGAAACUGGCCUCUUGACUUAGGGUUAAACGUCCUCUGGUUUGAAGACACAAGAGUCUGCAUUUGCCCAAUACUUGGGGUUCUCAGCUUUUCUCCAACCUGGUCAUCACAGAGUGACCAGCAUUGGCCUGGCAAUGGUGCCUUCACAUGGGAGCGAAAAGGACCAGCCUGAGGUGAGGAGGAUGGGUCCUGUGUCCCCACUCUCCCCUGAGCCCGGGGCCUUGCAGUGGCCUUGACCUUCAGCCCUGGGCUUCUUCCUACCCGAGCCCCCGGCAGUGUCCCUCAGCCCAGCCCAGCCCGUUCAGCCUUUGCCUGGGGCCAGUCACUGAGGGUGGCUUCCCCGGGACGUCCCGGGCUCCCUUGAAGGAGCCGCUCUCAGCGCGAUUCUGCGGACGGAUGGGGGCGUCUGUGCUGAGCCCUCCACUGUCUUGGGCUCUUCUAAUAUCACACUGAGCACUGGGCGUUGUUCGUCCCACUCUACGGAUGAGAAAGUCGGGGCUCAUGUAGGUGGAGGAAACUGCCUGAGCACCAGAACCUGGGGAGGCGCCGAGGCUGGACCGAGCCUGCUGUGCCUGUGCCUGUGCCGAGUGAGCCUGCUGUGGCCGUGUUGCUGCACAUUUACCAGUGCUGACGGGGACUUCGCGGUCACCCACCUGACCAAGGCCCACCUGUUCCAUGACGGGCGGGUGCAGUGGACUCCCCCGGCCAUUUACAAGAGCUCCUGCAGCAUCGACGUCACCUUCUUCCCCUUCGACCAGCAGAACUGCACCAUGAAAUUCGGCUCCUGGACCUACGACAAGGCCAAGAUCGACCUGGUGAACAUGCACAGCCGCGUGGACCAGCUGGACUUCUGGGAGAGUGGCGAGUGGGUCAUCGUGGACGCCGUGGGCACCUACAACACCAGGAAGUACGAGUGCUGCGCCGAGAUCUACCCGGACAUCACCUAUGCCUUCGUCAUCCGGCGGCUGCCGCUCUUCUACACCAUCAACCUCAUCAUCCCCUGCCUGCUCAUCUCCUGCCUCACCGUGCUGGUCUUCUACCUGCCCUCCGAGUGUGGCGAGAAGAUCACGCUGUGCAUCUCCGUGCUGCUGUCGCUCACCGUCUUCUUGCUGCUCAUCACCGAGAUCAUCCCGUCCACCUCACUGGUCAUCCCGCUCAUCGGCGAGUACUUGCUGUUCACCAUGAUCUUCGUCACCCUGUCCAUCGUCAUCACGGUCUUCGUGCUCAACGUGCACCACCGCUCGCCACGCACGCACACCAUGCCCACCUGGGUACGCAGGGUCUUCCUGGACAUCGUGCCGCGCCUGCUCCUCAUGAAGCGGCCGUCCGUGGUCAAGGACAAUUGCCGGCGGCUCAUCGAGUCCAUGCACAAGAUGGCCAGUGCCCCGCGCUUCUGGCCCGAGCCAGAAGGGGAGCCCCCUGCCACGAGCGGCACCCAGAGCCUGCACCCGCCCUCACCGUCCUUCUGCAUCCCCCUGGAUGUGCCGGCUGAGCCUGGGCCUUCCUGCAAGUCACCGUCCGACCAGCUCCCUGCUCAGCAGCCCCUGGAAGCUGAGAAAGCCAGCCCCCACGCCUCGCCUGGACCCUGCCGCCCGCCCCACGGCACCCAGGCACCAGGGCUGGCCAAAGCCAGGUCCCUCAGCGUCCAGCACAUGUCCAGCCCUGGCGAAGCAGUGGAAGGCGGCAUCCGGUGCCGGUCUCGGAGCAUCCAGUACUGUGUUCCCCGAGACGAUGCCACCUCCGAGGCAGGUGGCCAGGCUGCUGGCGCCCUGGCCUCUCGCAACACCCACUCGGCUGAGCUCCCACCCCCAGACCGGCCCUCUCCGUGCAAAUGCACGUGCAAGAAGGAGCCCUCUUCGGUGUCCCCGAGCGCCACGGUCAAGGCCCGCAGCACCAAAGCGCCGCCCCGGCACCUGCCCCUGUCCCCGGCCCUGACCCGGGCGGUGGAGGGUGUCCAGUACAUUGCAGACCACCUGAAGGCCGAAGACACAGACUUCUCGGUGAAGGAGGACUGGAAGUACGUGGCCAUGGUCAUCGACCGCAUCUUCCUCUGGAUGUUCAUCAUCGUCUGCCUGCUGGGGACGGUGGGCCUCUUCCUGCCGCCCUGGCUGGCUGGCAUGAUCUAGGAAGGGACCAGGAGCCUGCGUGGCCUGGGGCUGCCAUGCACGGGGCCAGCAUCCAUGCGGCUGGCCUGGGGCCGGGCUGGCUUCUCCCUGGACUCUGUGGGGCCACACGUUUGCCAAAUUAUCCUUCCUGUUCUGUGUCUGCUGUAAGACGGCCUCUGGGGAGACCGAGUGUGGAGCUGCUUCCAGUUGGUCUGUGGCCCCAGGAGGUAGUGGCUUGGAGCAGAGGUGGGGGUCGGCGCCUUCUACCUGCAGGACUCGGGCUAAGUCCAGUUCAAGAGUCUCCUGAGCUCCCCUGCAGAUGGAACUCACUCCUCCCAGUCUCUCAGCAGAUCUGGUGAUGGUCCCGACCGCCCCAAGGGGCCCUUGAAGGGAGUUCACGCCCCUUCAGCCCCAAGCGCCCCGUCUUCUGGAGGCCCGGCCGCCUCUCCCACCCACCGUGUCCUGCGCCUGUGUGGGCUUCGGCUUCUCCCCCAGGGUCCUCGAGCCUCUCGGACCCCAUGAGGGUGAGCCAGCAGCGCUCCAAUCUGCUUCGCUAGGAGAGGGUCCAGGCAGGGAUUGUGUUUGGUUGUGUUUUGGGUAAGUUAGUGAGAACUCAAGUCUUGUGCCCAAGGAGGCUUGGAGAACAGAGCUUUGUGGAGCUGGUUCCGCGUGGGGAGAAUCGGGAGGCCCAUGCGGGACCAGCUCUCCCCUGCGCAGGCCCUCCGCGGGGGACGGGAACACCCAGCCCCAGCGAGUCCGGAGACCAGGACUCUGCCUUCCAGGCGUAGGGCCAGGGCUCCGGCAGGUGGCCAGGGCUCCACGGGGCCCAGUGGCUUCCGCCCCUGGGGUACUUCUGUGCUGUGAUUCCCCGGAGCUGGGAAGGUCCCGAAUGGAGUCCAGACCUGGGCCCUGGUUCCCCCAGGACCCUGAGGGUUUCCACCUCGGCGCACAGCCCGGGAGAUCUGCCCCGGGCUCUGGGUUCGGGAAGAAGGACUUCCUGCUACAGUAGCUGUGGGGAGCUGGCGGGGGCAUCCUUGAGGACCUCCACCUGGGAGAUGCUGGGACCCUCGGGGCAGGAAGCCCCUGAGAAGCCUCAUGGGAGUCAGGGAGCCCUGGGGUUUCCACACAGGCCCAUGCCCUCCGUCCUGGCAGGGCAGGCAGAGCUCAGCAGGGCCUCACCCCUGUAGGCGGUACCCAGAGGUGGGGGAGGCCUGAAAUGUUUCCAGGCAUGACCCUGGAGCCCGGCAGUGCACACCCUGAAGAUGGCGCACCCGGCAGCCCCCCAGUGUCCCCAGGGGCACACUUCCCCUUGGGAUGGGUACAGGCUGCCCCACCCCUCCAUGAUUCCAAGGGCCCAGAGGGGCGGGGCCAGGACGGCGUGUCCCCUGCCUGUGAGUGACGUCGGUUCGGGAGGAGACAGUCAGGAAGCCUCCUGCUGAGUGGUCCACAUUCUGCUGCCCCCAGACCCCAUCCAGCCAGGGGCGGGGAUGGGGUUGGGCUCUGUGUCCCACUGAGUCUCAUUCCUCUGUCCCCGAGCCGAGCUCUCCUGGGCCAGCGUCUUGUCAGGAGGUGCCUGAGAGCAGAAUGAAUAAUUGAGGUUAGGAACCCGGCAUGCCGAGUGCCCCAGAAAUGCCGCUGUGUCCCCGCGGGCAGUGACAUGAGUGGGGAGGAGACUCAGGCCCACAUUGCCCACACCUGCCUCUGAACUGCUGCUGGUCACCCCCACCCCCGGGUGCCUGUGACCGGGGUCCUGAGGCUGGGGCUUUUGUGCCAGGAGUGGGUGGGAUGCAGAGACCCCCGUGCCAAAUCCUGGGCAUCCCCAGCCCCCUGGCCCCUCCCACAUCCCCUGUGUAUUCAGGACCCCAUCUGCUGAGCUCUGACCUGCCCCCGCUCCGCCAUCAGCCCCUGCUGCUCCUCGGCCAGAGCUCCCAGGACGCAGGGAGACCCUGGGAGAGUGAGGUCAUCCCGGGGCCAUGGAAGCUGGCAGGAGACACUGGUCUCAGAGGAGGGAGAGAGAUGCAGAUUUCAGAUGUAAGAAGCCCGAUCCACAUUGCAUAAGCGGAUCCAGCUGCCAGAUGUGUGGGCAGCUGCAGGGAGUGGCCCGGGGUGCUGGGCCCAGCUGUGGUUGUUCUUUUCUGGGUCAGGAGUGACUGCGGAGUGGCUGGGACGCUCCUGCCGGGGGACCCUCCUGCCAGGGGUGGCCGCUUGCCUGGGGGAAGACCCCUUUCCCUUUCUUCUUUUUUUUUUGAGGCUCAAAAAAAAAAAAAUCCAAAUAAAGCACCAUAUUCCCACCACGCCAAAUUAACCUUGACAACAAUGUUGACGUAUUUGCGUCCAGUGCUGUUUUUAUUAAUUAAGGUAAAAUUUACAUAUGGCGAGAUGCAUGCUCUUCGGUGGAGACCCAGCCCCUAGAAGGUCCCUCCAGCCCUUCCUGUCGGCGUCCCUCCCCAUCUGUGGCUCUGACUUAAGCACGGUGGAUUGAACUCUCCGGCUCACGACCUUCGAGGAGUCAGAAUCCUGCAGUUGGAGCCUUUGAUGUCUGGCUUCUUCAUCCUAUGACUUAGAGCUUCAUCCGUGCUGUUGUGUGUGUCCGUAGCUCCUUGCUGUCUGUUCCUUCGUUUUUAAUUGUGAGCAGUGUUCUUCUGUCUGAAUAAACUAAGACGCAGUUUGUCCAUC